rnacentral:rRNA from 1 species
CAUGCAAGUCGAGGGGCAUCGCGGGAGUAGCAAUACUUCUGGCGGCGACCGGCGAAAGGGUGCGUAACGCGUGAGCGACAUACCCGUGACCGGGGUAUAACCGAUGGAAACGUCGACUAAUCCCCCAUAACAUCAGGGAAGGCAUCUUUCCUGGUUGAAAUUCACGGAGGUCACGGAUUGGCUCGCGUCUGAUUAGCUAGUUGGCGGGGUAACGGCCCACCAAGGCGACGAUCAGUAGGGGUUCUGAGAGGAAGGUCCCCCCCAAUGGAACUGAGACACGGUCCAUACUCCUACGGGAGGCAGCAGUGAGGAAUAUUGGUCAAUGGGCGGAAGCCUGAACCAGCCAUGCCGCGUGCAGGACGACGGCCCUAUGGGUUGUAAACUGCUUUUGCUGCGGAGCAAUAAGGGUGUCGUGCACAUCCGAUGAGAGUACGCAGCGAAUAAGCAUCGGCUAACUCCGUGCCAGCAGCCGCGGUAAUACG